AAUCCGGGUUGCGGACAGUGUCUGGUGGGUAGUUUGACUGGGGCGGUCUCCUCCUAAAGAGUAACGGAGGAGCACGAAGGUUGGCUAAUCCUGGUCGGACAUCAGGAGGUUAGUGCAAUGGCAUAAGCCAGCUUGACUGCGAGCGUGACGGCGCGAGCAGGUGCGAAAGCAGGUCAUAGUGAUCCGGUGGUUCUGAAUGGAAGGGCCAUCGCUCAACGGAUAAAAGGUACUCCGGGGAUAACAGGCUGAUACCGCCCAAGAGUUCAUAUCGACGGCGGUGUUUGGCACCUCGAUGUCGGCUCAUCACAUCCUGGGGCUGAAGUAGGUCCCAAGGGUAUGGCUGUUCGCCAUUUAAAGUGGUACGCGAGCUGGGUUUAGAACGUCGUGAGACAGUUCGGUCCCUAUCUGCCGUGGGCGCUGGAGAAUUGAGGGGGGCUGCUCCUAGUACGAGAGGACCGGAGUGGACGCAUCACUGGUGUUCGGGUUGUCAUGCCAAUGGCACUGCCCGGUAGCUAAAUGCGGAAGAGAUAAGUGCUGAAAGCAUCUAAGCACGAAACUUGCCCCGAGAUGAGUUCUCCCUGACUCCUUGAGAGUCCUGAAGGAACGUUGAAGACGACGACGUUGAUAGGCCGGGUGUGUAAGCGCAGCGAUGCGUUGAGCUAACCGGUACUAAUGAACCGUGAGGCUUAACCUU
rnacentral:rRNA from 1 species